CAUGGCACAGGAUCAGACGCAACUCGACGCCUCCUGGUGGACGCAUGGGCUCCCGGUAAUAGACGAUCAUAUGGAACCGCUUGAGCUGGCGGAUGCCUGGCUCGGAACAUGGAUCCCGUUUCGGCACCUGUAACUGCGAUCCUUUAAUUCCUCACCUCGUUAUUUGAGGCUGGUCGUGCGUAUUGUACGAUUAACUUGUACAGAUCGGCCAUUUCCUCGGCUCAU